CCUUUGUGCAUAAGUGCGUGCAUGUAUAUGUGUGUAUAUUUUAUGCAUAUACAUACACACACCUAUACACACAUGCACACAGACAUGCGAGAAUGGC
ensembl:miRNA Mir467c microRNA 467c